UACGUAGGGACCAAGCGUUGUUCGGAUUUACUGGGCGUAAAGGGCGCGUAGGCGGCGUGUUAAGUCAGUUGUGAAAUCUCCAAGCUUAACUUGGAACGGUCAACUGAUACUGAUGUGCUAGAGUGCAGAAGGGGCAACCGGAAUUCUUGGUGUAGCGGUGAAAUGCGUAGAUAUCAAGAGGAACACCUGAGGUGAAGACGGGUUGCUGGGCUGACACUGACGCUGAGGCGCGAAAGCUAGGGUAGCGAACGGG
rnacentral:rRNA from 1 species